rnacentral:lncRNA from 1 species
UCCUUCCCUUCCCUCCCUCCCUCCCCUUUCGGCUGGAUCGGUGCGCCGGGGCGCCCUAUCCCCUCCGCAGCUGGGACGCGCCGAACUCGAGGCAGGAGUAGGCUCUCUGGAGCCUGGUCCCUCCCUUCCCCUUCCCUGUCCCCUUCCCCCACCCCCGACGCGGGCUUGGCGCGGCGACCAGAGGAAACCCGAGGUGAGCAUCCCUCGUCCGUCCUCCUUUAGUCGUUCCAGCUUGC